rnacentral:rRNA from 1 species
GACGGCGCUGGCGGCGUGCUUAACACAUGCAAGUCGAACGAGCGACGGACGGGUGGGUAAUGUCGGGGAAACUGCCGGAUGGAGGGUGAUAACUACUGGAAACGGUAGCUAAUACCGCAUACCAUCGGAUGUGCCCAGAUGGGAUUAGCAAGUAGGUGGGGUAAAGGCUCCCCUAGGCGACGAUCCCUAGCUGGUCUGAGUGGAUGACCAGCCACACUGGAACUGAGACACGGUCCAGACUCCUACGGAAGGCAGCAGUGGGGAAUAUUGCACUAGGGGCGCAUGCCUGAUGCAGCCAUGCCGAGUGUAUGAAGAAGGCCCUCCGGUUUUAAAGUACUUGCAGCGGGGAGGCGUUACCCGCAGAAGAAGCACCGGCUAACUCCGUGCCAGCAGCCGCGGUAAUAC